rnacentral:tRNA from 1 species
GAGGGUAUAGCUCAAUGGUACAGCUCAUGCUUGGCAUGCACGAGGUCCUGGGCUCAAUCCCCAGUACCUCCA